rnacentral:rRNA from 1 species
AUUGAACGCUGGCGGCAUGCCUUACACAUGCAAGUCGAACGGCAGCGCGGGAGCAAUCCUGGCGGCGAGUGGCGAACGGGUGAGUAAUAUAUCGGAACGUGCCCAGUAGUGGGGGAUAGCCCGGCGAAAGCCGGAUUAAUACCGCAUGAGACCUGAGGGUGAAAGCGGGGGAUCGCAAGACCUCGCGCUAUUGGAGCGGCCGAUAUCAGAUUAGCUAGUUGGUGGGGUAAAGGCCUACCAAGGCAACGAUCCGUAGCGGGUCUGAGAGGAUGAUCCGCCACACUGGGACUGAGACACGGCCCAGACUCCUACGGGAGGCAGCAGUGGGGAAUUUUGGACAAUGGGCGCAAGCCUGAUCCAGCCAUGCCGCGUGAGUGAAGAAGGC